rnacentral:rRNA from 1 species
UGAGGAAUUUUGGACAAUGGGCGCAAGCCUGAUCCAGCAAUGCCGCGUGCAGGAUGAAGGCCUUCGGGUUGUAAACUGCUUUUGUACGGAGCGAAAAGGUCUGCCCUAGUACGGUGGGCUCAUGACGGUACCGUAAGAAUAAGCACCGGCUAACUACGUGCCAGCAGCCGCGGUAAUACGUAGGGUGCGAGCGUUAAUCGGAAUUACUGGGCGUAAAGCGUGCGCAGGCGGUUAUGCAAGACAGAGGUGAAAUCCCCGGGCUCAACCUGGGAACUGCCUUUGUGACUGUAUAGCUAGAGUACGGCAGAGGGGGAUGGAAUUCCGCGUGUAGCAGUGAAAUGCGUAGAUAUGCGGAGGAACACCGAUGGCGAAGGCAAUCCCCUGGGCCUGCACUGACGCUCAUGCACGAAAGCGUGGGGAGCAAACA